rnacentral:pre_miRNA from 1 species
CUCUCCCUCCCUCCGUUCCGAAUUACUACUUGUCAACAUGUAUGGAUGUAUAUAGAUGCCUUUUAAUUUUAGAUACAUCUAUUUCAACGACGAGUAAUUUGGAACGGAGGGAGGGAGUA